GCAACAUGGAUGGACUGAGAAAUUAUCAUACUAAGUGAAGUUAGAUAGUAGAAAACAUCAUAUGAUAUCACUUACAUGUGGAAUCUAAAAAAAAAUAAUUAUCCAUAUGAACUCAUUUGCAGAGCAGAAACAGACUCACAGACUUUGAAAAACGUAUGGUUACCAAAGGUGUCAGGUUGCGGGGAGGGAUAGACUGGGGGUUUGUGAUAGGUAUAUGCACACUGAGGUCUAUGGAAUGAUUGAGCAGCAGAGACCUCCUGUCUAGCAUAGGGCACUCUACCCAUUCCGUGAUUCUGUGAUCAUUUAUAUGGGAAAAGAAUCUGAAAGAGAAUGGGUGUGUGUGUCUGUAUAACUGAAUCAUUUUGUUAGACCGCAGAAAUGAUUAUGACCUUGUCCAUCAACUAUACUUCAAUAAAGCUUUAUAAACAACAACGAAGAAGACAAUGAACUGACAAGAAGAAGGGAUGCCAUGGCUGUGAUUUUCCUUCCAAGAAGGAAGUUGGCUGCCUCAGGCCAUUUGGAGUGUCCGAGAGAGGAUGGUUCUAGAAGGAAGUUAGGAGGCACUGCCCAGAGCAGCUGUGGUGGCUGCUGGCUUGAUGGCUGCAAGCGUGAUGGCUGCAAGCGUGUUUAUUUACGGGAAAGGUGA
rnacentral:lncRNA from 9 species